UCAGCAGCUCCCUGGCUCCUCCACAUGCAAACAUUUGAAUUUCCUGUUGGCUCAGAGUGUUUGCAUUGCAAGUGACAUCUGGCUGACAGGAAUUUGGAGAAAUGGGAUACAAAGUGAAUGCUGUAGUUACCACAGCAUCGUAUUUAUCAAAAGGCUUAAGGCAUGGUAUCGUGGUGAAAUUCUAAGGAGACAUUCAUUGACUCUCCUAAGAGAGAAGGAAGAAUUAAGUCCUAGAUGCAGUUGUACAGAGUACUGGUAAAACAACAAAUCCUGUCAGUGUUCUCAUAGAAGACAAUUGAGAUGUGAAGUACAGCAUUGAUACCUGAUGUAUUACUUCAGCAGCAAAUUCAACAAGGCCAAGAUGUCUUCAUUUUCCUCCAGAGCAAGAGCUGUACAAGCAUUGUGAUGGAAGUAUUGGUCUUCGGUGGCCAGCCGGCGAGAACCCAUCAACAGCUGUGAUGAGCAGAGCAGACAGAGAGACAGGAGGCAGCUGAAGCCAAAGAGGACCCACGCCUGGAGCUGUGUGUGUGAUUGGAGCAGAGAGAGGCCAGGACCCAAGGAAAUCCCAGCAGCGAGGGAAAAAAACAGAUUGACUCUCAGUGACUCAUUUAGCUCCUGGAUUGGACAGAUCUCUCCCCUGCUGGCAAUUUGGCUGAGCAUCAAUGGACAGAUACCAGGAUGAAUAGCUUAAAAUAAUUAGGGGUUGGGAAUCUGCAAAACUGCUAGCCAUCCAAUUCUUUACUCUGCAAUGUGAGGCACAAAAAAGAAAUUACAUUUAGGUUAUUAAAUAUUAAGUCAGUGGAUUUGCUUCCAUUUGGUCCAGAACAGGAAACUGGAUAAAAUUCAACAUUUAUUUCAUUGUGUUGAUGGCCUGUUUAUCACUGAGCGGAAAAGAAGAGAAAAGAGGAAUUUGACAAAUGAUGGCAAUUGAGACUUCAUGAUUUAAUAACAGCAUCUCAAGCAGUUGUUCUGAAGUGGUUCUCAGUGUGAAAUGAGGUUGCCACAUGCUUAUCAGUGGUGAUAGAGGUAUAUGGCUACAGACACCUUGCCCCUCAAAAGCUUCUUGUCUGACAGAGUCCUAGACGAAGAACACCAGUCUGAAGAUCUUCGAUGUGGUUUGGCAAGUUCAGAAAAAUAUUUGUGAUAAAGUUGAACUGCUGUCUGGAAAUGUAACAUGCAUCUCAAAGAAGCUUGAGAAGAAAACCCAGAAGAGUCAGCACUACACAUGAAUGCGGUAUCAUUUCAAGCCACUACAAAGUGCUGGGAGAAGGGGAGGAGGAAAUCUUCACGUAUGUUCUAAAGAUUUGUCAGCAGUUGGCCUUCAGACUAGCUUGAAGAUUUUGGUAAUGCCAGCAGCUACCAGAAGGUCCAGACAAACUCACACUAGAGAUUGCCUAAGCCUCAAAUUGCUGGGAGCUUACACACCAGCUGUGAAUCAGCAGCCUUUGACCUGUUCUUGUAUUUCCACUUCCAAGCAUCCACUACUGAGCAGUGAGGAAGAAGAGCUUGCAGAGGUAACUAAGAGUUAAAUGGCAACAUUUCAGCUGUCACCAUUGUCUUACAUCUACAGAGAGAGUGGAGAGAGCCAAGAAGAUAACAAUGAGAGCAGAUCUGCAGUAUAGUGAGGACCCGAUCUGCUACACUUCUGUGGUGCGUGUUGCAUUUCAGUGCCAGCACUUACCAGAGAUGUUAUGGCCUACGAGUCUGGAGAAUGAGACCUUCACUGGCACCACACAGGAGGCCAAGGACAGGCAGAAGCACGGGCAAAGGCAAAGUUCCACUAGGUCAAGGGAAGGGGCAUGGCAGACUAAUGGACAGCAACCUGCUCUUAGGUGGAAGACUGCUCUUCAGCAUUUGGCCCAGGUCAAACAGGAAAAUGGAGAUCGAGCACAUCCACCGAAGCGGCGGCUGGUUGGACUUGCAAUCACGCUGGGGAAGGAGCAGCUCAGUGCUACCCAUGGGGCGUCCCUUCAGAGGGGGCACACGUUGCAGCUGUGUGAUGUGCACAGAGCUGGUGGCGCUCACUGGAUGCUCCCAGAAGACAAACAGCAUUGGUCCAGAUCAAAGGCCUCCCACAAGAAAUUCAGACUUCUUUGUUAAAGAAAUGCACAGUCAGCUGGGUGUGAGGCCGGCAGUGCUGCAGUCCAUGUGCCACGGCCCACCUGGAGGGCAGGCGUGCUGAGGAGCCCUGUCAGACACACACUGCGUUCUAUUAAGAAAAGAAAAGAAAGGAAAAAACUUACGAGUGAGCUCUUCUGUGGCUUCGCUGGACUGACAACAGGCGUACACCUGGUACUGAAAAGCAACAACAAAGGCUCCCUGGUACUUCACGUACUGCAGGCACGGGAAGUGAAACCGGUCCUGGAACACGUCUCAAGCUGAAGAAACACAAUACUUUGAAGUCCUAUUUUUGCCAAGGCAAUGAAGUGCUGAAGGAAGAAAUCCAAGAGACCUCAGCACACUAGGCCAAGAAGUAGAAUCUGAAACAAAAUGUAUCUGCUACUGGUUGUUCAGACAGACAAAUCUACAAAUCUGAUUCUUAUGCACCAGCGUCACAACGAAAGUAAGCGAAGCUCACUCCAUAACCAAACAAGCUACGCCUUCUUGAAAACAGAAUUUAAAAAGAGAACAUAAUCACACUGCAUUUCAAAUGCAUUAUUCUCCGAUAGAAGUCAAACAGCUGGUAAUGCUGAUUUGCUCUGAGUUGCAGCAGAGGCACCUUCUGGGUGCCCGCAGUUCCCUGACUGAAGGCAUACAGUGCAUCACAGAUUCAUGUUACUGUUCUUGCUAUAAGUAUGAAAAAUGAGGAUUUUUUUCUCAGAGUUGGUCUGCACAUACCCUAAAGGAAAGGCCCACUGAACAAAGCUGCCCUCUUUCUAAGCUUAGAGAAAGUUUUCUUACUUUGGAGGGCGUUGUUUUUUUGUUUCCUUCCAGAGAGCAAACCAUAGCUGCCAUCAGUUUGUUCUUGGAAGUAGCCCAGGAAGCUCGCUUUUCUUUCCUUCAGAUUAUUAGUUUUAAAAGUUUCUUGCACAGCAAAUUCCAGUUUAUUUUUAUUCAGAUCAGAACAGCUAUUGUAUUCCUCUCUAUGAACGCUCAAUUCUAGUGCUCCGCAUGAGGUACACACCUUCUUUGCUUUUAUUGUUAUUUCUGGAUCUCUUGAAGUGUGUUCAUACACCCUCAUGCUUGCACACUCACAGACACACGCAUACAUCUAACAUGGGCAGUUUUGCAGGGAGGAGCCAGAUAGAAAGAGACCACAAUACCUAUAACGUGUACCACACUUAACCACAAUCUGAACUGUCUUGCAUUUGCUGUUAUUAGAAGCAAGAAUCUCAAUGAAAACUAAUGAUCACUUUGAAGCAGCGCCUCCCUGUAUCCACACCAAAAUUAACAUGGUAGUUUAACAGGUUCUUUAGUGGCAUAAGACAAAACAGAAAAGGAACCCACCAAAAACCUCCAAACCAAAACCUUAUUUUUAAAGGAAACUGACAAUUAAGGCAAUGACUUUGUUUCAGAGCACUAUUUUGAGUGUAGUUUUGUUGUUUGUUUGUUUGUUUUUUUUCAAGAAAAAAACAGCAACGUUUCUAAAACCCAAACUCAAUUCAAUGGUUUUUGUUUUACUUUUUAUUAUUUAAAUACACCAUACUAGAGCAAAUGUCUCUGAAAAUAUCACAAAUAAAAGAUUUUUCUUCAUUCAGCAAAUUAGAAGUAGGUGAAAAUUUCUACACAGUAGCUGCUAUGAGCCUGACUUUUUUUUUCCUUUUUCUCCUUUUUUUUUUUUUUGCCAUGGGAAGUAGCAACAUUAGGACAAAAACACUUACAUGCA